rnacentral:rRNA from 1 species
CCUACGGGUGGCAGCAGUGAGGAAUAUUGGUCAAUGGACGAGAGUCUGAACCAGCCAAGUAGCGUGAAGGAUGACUGCCCUAUGGGUUGUAAACUUCUUUUAUAGGGGAAUAAAAUGUGCCACGUGGGGGAUUUUGUAUGUACCAUAUGAAUAAGGAUCGGCUAACUCCGUGCCAGCAGCCGCGGUAAUACGGAGGAGCCGAGCGUUAGCCGGAGUUAUUGGGUUUAAAGGGAGCGUAGGUGGAUUGUUAAGUCAGUUGUGAAAGUUUGCGGCUCACCCGUAAAAUUGCAGUUGAAACGGGCAGUCUUGAGUACAGUAGUGGUGGGCGGCAUUCGUGGUGUAGCGGU